rnacentral:sRNA from 1 species
UCCGGGCGUGGUGGUGCACAUCUGUAAUCCCAGUGGCUCAGGAGGAUGAGACAGGAGGAUCGCGAGUUCAAAGCCAGCCUCAGCCAAAGUGAGGUGCUCAGCAACUCAGUGAGACCCUGUCUCUA